rnacentral:rRNA from 1 species
AGAGUUUGAUCCUGGCUCAGAGCGAACGCUGGCGGCAGGCCUAACACAUGCAAGUCGAACGGACCCUUCGGGGUUAGUGGCGGACGGGUGAGUAACACGUGGGAACGUGCCUUUAGGUUCGGAAUAGCUCCUGGAAACGGGUGGUAAUGCCGAAUGUGCCCUUCGGGGGAAAGAUUUAUCGCCUUUAGAGCGGCCCGCGUCUGAUUAGCUAGUUGGUGGGGUAAUGGCCCACCAAGGCUACGAUCAGUAGCUGGUCUGAGAGGAUGACCAGCCACAUUGGGACUGAGACACGGCCCAAACUCCUACGGGAGGCAGCAGUGGGGAAUCUUGCGCAAUGGGCGAAAGCCUGACGCAGCCAUGCCGCGUGUAUGAUAAAGGUCUUAGGAUUGUAAAAUACUUUCACCGGUGAAGAUAAUGACUGUAGCCGGAGAAGAAGCCCCGGCUAACUUCGUGCCAGCAGCCCGCGGUAAUACGAAAGGGGGGCUAGCGUUGCUCGGAAUUACUGGGCGUAAAGGGGAGCGUAGGCGGACAUUAAAGUCAGGGGGGUUAAAACCCCAGAAGCUUAACCUCUAGAGCCUUC